AGAGUUUGAUCAUGGCUCAGAUUGAACGCUGGCGGCAGGCCUAACACAUGCAAGUCGAGCGGUAACAGAGAGUAGCUUGCUACUCUGCUGACGAGCGGCGGACGGGUGAGUAAUGCUUGGGAAUGUACCUUAUGGUGGGGGACAACAGUUGGAAACGACUGCUAAUACCGCAUAAUGUCUUCGGACCAAAGCGGGGGACCUUCGGGCCUCGCGCCAUAAGAUCAGCCCAAGUGGGAUUAGCUAGUUGGUGAGGUAAUGGCUCACCAAGGCGACGAUCCCUAGCUGGUUUGAGAGGAUGAUCAGCCACACUGGGACUGAGACACGGCCCAGACUCCUACGGGAGGCAGCAGUGGGGAAUAUUGCACAAUGGGCGCAAGCCUGAUGCAGCCAUGCCGCGUGUGUGAAGAAGGCCUUCGGGUUGUAAAGCACUUUCAGUAAGGAGGAAAGGUUGGAUGUUAAUAGCAUUCAGCUGUGACGUUACUUACAGAAGAAGCACCGGCUAACUCCGUGCCAGCAGCCGCGGUAAUACGGAGGGUGCGAGCGUUAAUCGGAAUUACUGGGCGUAAAGCGUACGCAGGCGGUUUGUUAAGCGAGAUGUGAAAGCCCCGGGCUCAACCUGGGAACUGCAUUUCGAACUGGCAAACUAGAGUGUGAUAGAGGGUGGUAGAAUUUCAGGUG
rnacentral:rRNA from 1 species